AGAGAAAUCAUAAUUCUAUUCUCACUCAAGGCAUACGAACCAAGACUAUGUUGACUUCCAAUUCGAUUGGCGGAGAUGAGUACGGUGAUGUUGGCUUACAGCUUUUGUUGUCAGAAUGAUGGAAACUUGCCAAGGAAGCAAUUCGUAGGCAAACUUCGGGACUCCACCGAUGCCACUUUCAACGUCACGACUGCUCCUCUUCCAUCCGACACCACCGAGCUCUGACGAAUGUAAGAUCGCCACCUGCCGAUGGAGGCGAUGAAUAGAAGAAGAAGUUCGUCUCCCUAAAACAGAGUCUUUAUCGAAGCCACGGCGACGGAGGCCGGCGAGCGGAGGCAACGGACUACCACUCCCGUCCGAAUCAAUGGAAACUGAUGACGUUGCUUCGGGGGAACCAUUCUCUCCUGAGGUUUUGGGCUUUGUUCAGCUUGCUAUGGAUCAGUAUAUUAUACAGGACCUGCAAGAUCUUGAUGAUAUAGCUAUGAGACAUGGAUUCAUUCCAUUAGUAGCUGCAUACUGAUACUGAAAUAUUUCUACUGCUGGCAACUUGAUGCUGAUUUCCCCUUGAAUUGCCUGUAUGCACGUACGAGGGAAAUUCAAACUCUUAUACUCAUAUUUUUCCUCCGAACAAGUAACAAGACCAAUUUGCUUGUCUUAUAUAAGGCAAAGCUUGCUUUGGACAGCUUUGAAGUUCCAGUUGGGUAAGAAACAGAUUUUCAGUAACCAGCUGUGUGAUUGUUGAGGAAGGGCAUCUUAUUGCGGCAGGAAGAAACAGGACUAAUGAGACACAGAAUGAGAGUGAGCUGUUAUCAUGGCUUCACCUCUCUUGAUUAAAAAGAUGUAGAGAGAGAUGCAAAAUUCUAAAGGCAACAAGACAUGCAGAAAUGGAAGCACGUGACGUUCUUUUUGAAUAGUGGUGGAGGACUAGAUUUUCGUCUGCAGAAGUUGCAGAGAGGUUUUCAGCAUGCUCUCUUUAUGUGACAUGUGAACCAUGCAUAAUGUGUGCAGCAGCAUUAUUGAUCAUUGGUACAUCUGUUGAUCAUACUGAAAUAAAACUAAACUUUCAUGAAAUUUGAUUAGUCAUAAAUGAUUAGAUGACUCUUAGCCGUUUUUAGGUAUAAAAAUGGCUGUGCAAAUGAUAAAUUUGGAGGCUAUGGUUCAAUACUGUCAAUGCAUUCAAGUAGCUCUAAGGUAUCCAUUAGGUCAGUUUCUGAUCUUGCUUUUGUUGCUGAUUUGGUAUCUACGUAGCUCCACUUUGAAAUUGUGACAUAUGAUAUUUGACAACUAAAGCUUACCACAGGUUUAUGACUCCUUAUGUUUAUUACUGAUGGAUGUGGUUUCGUAGUAAUUCUGCUUGUUGUCGCACUUUGAAUAUUGCGACACAUAACAAUGAAAAUAAAUGGAGGUUUGUGGAAACUAAUUUUUCACCUUUUCUGUCCUUUUCCAAGUCUAAAUGGAAGAAAGUCAAGUUUCCUUUUUUUUUUUUUAAAUUCUAAUGCGACUUGUUAGACAUUUCCUUUUUUGUUUUUCCCUAAACAUUUACUGUUCUGGGAAGUACUACAAGUUAAGGUAACAUUAGUUUGUUCUUUCCAUUUCUCUUUCCCCCUCUGUUUCUUCAUCUCAUCUUCCUCGCUUUUUUCCAUUGCAGUGAGAUUCUUUGAUGUCUUUAAUGUUAUCAAGUUUAAAGCGGGAAAUAUAGCAUCUUCAAAGAAAUAUGAUUUAACUAUGAGGAAAUUAUGCUUUCUGAUAUGUCAUGGGCAAUGUACUUAAUAAAGAAAUCUCUUUUUCUUGUUUAUUAGUUGCAAUUGUCUCCUCUUGCAUACAUGAGGGCAUGUGCUUGGUAAAUUGUGGUGUAUGGCAUGUAUUUCCAUUAUGAUUUUUCAUCUGUCUGACGCUGCCAUGAUCUAACAUUUCAUGUUUCCUGAGAUUGUCCAGAAGUCAUCAAUUUUUUACUCAGACUUUGUCGACAUAAAAGCCAAAAACGUAAUGAAAUAAGGUCUGUUUCAUUGUGAUUUGAGCAGUACAUGGAGUAGC